CCUCCACCUGAAGCUCUACCUCGCUCUGGGCUCCUCCUGGCUCCUGAAGCUCCACCUAGCACUGGGCUCCCCACCAGGUAGUAAUAUCCUCUCAUCCUCUUCUUUUCCUCCAGAGUAACCUUAUUGCUAUGUAACACCUUCAAGAUUUCUCUACUAGCUACCAUCCUAUAGCUUCUCGAAUUCAGUCUGCUCAGUGAGAUAAGAUUCUUCCUAAAAUUGAGUAUGUA
rnacentral:lncRNA from 1 species